rnacentral:rRNA from 1 species
GAUGAACGCUGGCGGCGUGCUUAACACAUGCAAGUCGAGCGAGUGAGUUCUUCGGAACGAUCUAGCGGCGGACGGGUGAGUAACACGUGGGCAACCUGCCUCAUAGAGGGGAAUAGCCUCCCGAAAGGGAGAUUAAUACCGCAUAAAAUUAUCGAGUGGCAUCACAUGAUAAUCAAAGGAGUAAUCCGCUAUGAGAUGGGCCCGCGGCGCAUUAGCUAGUUGGUGAGGUAACGGCUCACCAAGGCGACGAUGCGUAGCCGACCUGAGAGGGUGAUCGGACACAUUGGGACUGAGACACGGCCCAGACUCCUACGGGAGGCAGCAGUGGGGAAUAUUGCACAAUGGGGGAAACCCUGAUGCAGCAACGCCGCGUGAGUGAUGAAGGUCUUCGGAUUGUAAAGCUCUGUCUUUGGGGACGAUAAUGACGGUACCCGAGGAGGAAGCCACGGCUAACUACGUGCCAGCCGCCGCCGUAA